rnacentral:rRNA from 1 species
AUACGUAGGGUGCAAGCGUUAAUCGGAAUUACUGGGCGUAAAGCGUGCGCAGGCGGUUUUGUAAGAGAGAGGUGAAAUCCCCGGGCUCAACCUGGGAACUGCCUUUGUGACUGCAAGGCUAGAGUACGGGAGAGGGGGAUGGAAUUCCGCGUGUAGCAGUGAAAUGCGUGGAUAUGAGGAGGAACACCGAUGGCGAAGGCAAGCCCCUGGGCCUGUACUGACGCUCAUGCACGAAAGCGUGGGGAGCAAACAGGAGUAGAUACCCUGGUAGUCCACGCCCUAAACGAUUUCAACUGGUUGUUGGGUCUUCAUUGACUCAGUAACGAAGCUAACGCGUGAAGUGGACCGCCUGGGGAGUACGGCGGCAAGGUGGAAACUCAAAGGAAUUGACGGGU